UUUAGGAUGGACCCGCGGUGCAUUAGUUAGUUGGUGAGGUAAAGGUUCACCAAGACCGUGAUGCAUAGCCGACCUGAGAGGUAAUCGGCCACACUGGGACUGAGACACGGCCCAGACUCCUACGGGAGGCAGCAGUAGGGAAUCUUCCACAAUGGACGAAAGUCUGAUGGAGCAACGCCGCGUGAGUGAAGAAGGUUUUCGGAUCGUAAAACUCUGUUGUUGGAGAAGAAUGUAUCUGAUAGUAACUGAUCAGGUAGUGACGGUAUCCAACCAGAAAGCCACGGCUAACUACGUG
rnacentral:rRNA from 1 species